UCUUUUUAUUUUUAUAUCCAGAUGUGAUUAAUGAGGCCUUUUGGAAAACAACCUCAGGAUCUCUCACCUUCGCAUGAGCCAAAGAACCUGGAAGGGGAUAAGGAAAGCUUUUCCUCCUAGGAACUCUGACAAAAAGCUAGCAGAAGAAAUACUUCUUGUUAAAUCCCGGAUGGCUUGCUUUCACAAUAUAGCCUGACUUUGGGACCGCCUCCUGAAAUGAGACACGACUGUUUAACUGAACUGACCUGACCCAUUCUCCAGAAUAAGACUACUUCAUUGAGGUAUGGAGCAAUCUAUCAACUAUGCUUCUGGAUUGUGAAAUUUCUUUUUUGAAAUUCCAAAAGAGGAACUGAAAGGGAGAAGAUUUUGUCAUCUCAAGAUAAGCCUCUUUGGCAUAUUGAUUAUUUUAAACUGAAGAAACAGAAGACACUGGUGAAGCUCUAAAAACUGAGUAGAAGUUACCCUUUUGAUAAGGGAAAUCUUCAUUUAUAAGCAUGUACCUAAUACUGUGCCAGGAAGAGGGGGAAUGACCAAAUCUUUAGAAACUCUUAUCAGUGACGAAGGCAAGGGCUUAUAUCUGAGUGACAACAUAAUCUUUAUUUACUGUGCUUUUCCUGGUAACCUCACAUAACCUACUCCCCACCCCUAACAUCUUCUUUUGUCUUUAGAUGAAGAUAAUAUAAGAUGAUGGCUUUGGCAAUUUUGGGAGUUUCUCAGUUCCACUGGGUCUUUGUCUCUUGUUCUUCUAUUAAUCUGUCUUACAUAAUUUUAAUUAUUAGACCAGCCAAAGAAGGUAGAAGAAAUAAAUGUUUUCUACCCCUGCAAAGGCUGAGGUUGAGGUCACCCUGUGAAGACAACUUGGUAUGUAUGUAUGUGGGUAUGUGUGGAGGAAGAGCCGAUUAUUUGCA